GCCUACAUGGUGUAGUGGUUUGAGCAUUAGACUGCAAAUCUGGAGACUGGGGUUCAAAUCCCAGCUUGGCCA